UAGGAUGUGGUGUAAUGGGAGCACAAAGUUGUUUUGAGUUCUUUGGUAUAGGUUCGAGUCUUGUUGUCCUAG
rnacentral:tRNA from 1 species